GUGAGGGGGCCGUACCUCAUGCAGAGUGUUGGUGGAAUUUCCUGCAUAGUGUGCGGCCUCCCCAC
ncrna:Ornithorhynchus anatinus (platypus) microRNA oan-mir-1421p precursor (oan-mir-1421p-1)